rnacentral:piRNA from 1 species
UCCCUGCCUGGAGUAACUCCACACCUCUGUCC